GCCUAUCUCAGUUCGGAUUGGAGGCUGAAACCCGCCUCCAUGAAGUUGGAUUCGCUAGUAAUCGCGCAUCAGCCAUGGCGCGGUGAAUACGUUCCCGGGCCUUGUACACACCGCCCGUCAAGCCAUGGGAGCCGGGGGUGCCUGAAGUUCGUUACCGUAAGGAUCGACCUAGGGCAAAACUGGUGACUGGGGCUAAGUCGUAACAAGGUACC
rnacentral:rRNA from 1 species